CAAUAGCGUAUAUUAAAGUUGUUGCAGUUAAAAAGCUCGUAGUUGGAUUUCUGGCAGGAGCGGCCGGUCACACACUCUGUGUGUGAACUUGCGUUGUCUCUGGCCAUCCUUGGGAAGAUCCUGUUUGGCAUUAAGUUGUCGGGCAGGGGAUACCCAUCGUUUACUGUGAAAAAAUUAGAGUGUUUAAAGCAGGCUUAUGCCGUUGAAUAUAUUAGCAUGGAAUAAUAAGAUAGGACUUCGGAACUAUUUUGUUGGUUUGCGUUACGAAGUAAUGAUUAAUAGGGACAGUUGGGGGUAUUCGUAUUUCGUUGUCAGAGGUGAAAUUCUUGGAUUUCCGAAAGACGAACUACUGCGAAAGCAUUUACCAAGGAUGUUUUCAUUAA
rnacentral:rRNA from 1 species